rnacentral:sRNA from 1 species
GACAGAUUGGAAGACACACUCCUGAACACGCACGGGCUGUUGCAGUCACAAAUACUUUGCCAGUUCUGCUUUCUUUGUACAUGUCAACAGAAAGUUCUGAGGAUCUCCAAGUAAAAAGUAAAAAAGCCAUAAAGAAUAUCCUGCAAAAAUGUACCUACUUACCAGCCCUUGAACCAUUUCUAUAUGAUGCUCCUCCCAAUAUUCUGAAACAUGUGGUUGGACAGUUCAGUAAGAACAAGUGGAGAAACUAACAACCCAUGGAAGAAAAUUCCUAGAAUACUGGGAUCAAGUCAAAACACCUGAUGGUUUUAGAGGACAGAAUUUUUGGAGGGAAAAACACAACCAGAUGACUCUCUGCACCCCUUUCCCAGGCCAUGGGCACCUGCCUGAUUCCUAUGGUCAUGAAGGAACAUUUUUCUGGUGUGGCCAUAUUCAUGGUGUCAGUGCAAUCUCAUCAGAGAUGAGGCUCCCCACUCAAGCUGCCAUGUGACUUGACAGCUCUUCAUACCGUUCCCUCACCAGAGUGGUGUCCAGUUUCAGGAGCACGGAAGAAAACA